GAAGAAAGAGGGAGGCGUGCUUAACACAUGCAAGUCGAACGGAAGGGCCCUGCUUUUGUGGGGUGCUCGAGUGGCGAACGGGUGAGUAACACGUGAGUAACCUGCCCUUGACUUUGGGAUAACUUCAGGAAACUGGGGCUAAUACCGGAUAGGAGCUCCUGCUGCAUGGUGGGGGUUGGAAAGUUUCGGCGGUUGGGGAUGGACUCGCGGCUUAUCAGCUUGUUGGUGGGGUAGUGGCUUACCAAGGCUUUGACGGGUAGCCGGCCUGAGAGGGUGACCGGCCACAUUGGGACUGAGAUACGGCCCAGACUCCUACGGGAGGCAGCAGUGGGGAAUAUUGCACAAUGGGCGGAAGCCUGAUGCAGCAACGCCGCGUGCGGGAUGACGGCCUUCGGGUUGUAAACCGCUUUCGCCUGUGACGAAGCGUGAGUGACGGUAAUGGGUAAAGAAGCACCGGCUAACUACGUG
rnacentral:rRNA from 1 species